AAAUGGUUCUAGUAAAACAGGCUCAGCAUAUUCCAUUCCAAACGUCUUCACAGUUACUAGUUUUGCCGUUGUUUCUCAAGCUUUGACAGAACUCAACCUUAUGAGUACGGAGCUAGGGCAAAUUGCUUUAUCUUCAGCAAUGAUCACUGAAAUGAUGCAAUGGGUUACGAUAACACUACAAAUACAAGUCAAAACUAUGAAGUUUAAAAAUAUCUUUUUUGCGUUCAUUGCCUUGGGUUUAUGUGUCUUAUAUAUUUUAUCCUUCUUUUUCAUUGUAAGACCAAUGGCAAGGUUUAUCAUUCAAAGAACACCAAUUGGAAAACCUUUGAAAGAAAUCUAUGUUGUCUUUGUUCUUUUGGGUGUUCUAAUUAUGGUAGCUAUUAGCGACGCGCUUGGUUUACAUUUUGUUAUAGGACCUAUUCUUUUUGGUUUGGCAAUGCCUAAUGGACCUCCCUUGGCAACAACAAUAGUAGAGAAAAGUGAACUAAUCGUCCAAGAAUUGCUUAUGCCAUUUUUCUUCUCAUACAUUGGCAUAACAACAAAUUUAAAAGGAAUUGCCAAAAAUUGGAAGGUGGUAUUUGUAUUUCAGAGUAUCUUAUUUGUUGGGUUCUUGGCAAAGGUUCUUGCAUGCGUCUUUGUUGCACCAACGUAUAAUAUGAGGCGCAAACAUGGCUUCGUGCUUGGCCUUAUAUUAAACAUCAAGGGCAUCAUGGAACUAAUAUUUUUUGCUAGACAAAGAAAUACCCUGGUACCUAUUAUUCUUUCUUGUUUACUUAAAAUAUAUUCUUUCUUUGUAUUUGAUUUCAUCAUAUACACACAAGGUUUUAGAAAAGGUUUACGUCCGCAAUUGCAAUAGAUAGGUCAUCUAACUUUGUUUUCUCCCACAUAGUUAGUUAAUUAAAGUUUCAAAAUAUUUGCAUCUUUGAUGUUUAUUUAUUUUUUAGGGUUUAGAAUUUAGGGUUUCAUAAUUACAAUUGCAGUGGUAUCAUAAUUACAAUUGCAAUCGUAUCGACCCUGUUUGAUAGUAUUUUCUUGCAAUAUCAAGGUUUGCAAGAUAACCGCAACAAUUGCAAUUGCAAUAUAGGUUGAAUCAACUGCAUUUGACUACAAUCUUAAAUAAUGUGACCAUGACAAUCAAUUAAAUUUACAACGUUUUUUCAUCAACUAUUUUUGCAGGUUAUUAAUAAUGAAGUAUACAGCCAGAUGGUUCUAUAUGUGGUGGUGAUGACCGGGAUAUGCAUACCUUUGAUAAAAAACAUGUAUAAGCAUGGCUCUCGCGUGACAAUGGUAAGAAGUAUACAUGACGGGGGAGUGAGGACGAUCCAAAACACUCCUGAAAAUUCAGAGUUCAACAUUAUUUGUUGCAUGCACAAUGAUAACAACGUGCAU
rnacentral:lncRNA from 1 species